CCUACGGGAGGCAGCAGUGAGGAAUAUUGGUCAAUGGACGAGAGUCUGAACCAGCCAAGUAGCGUGAAGGAUGACUGCCCUAUGGGUUGUAAACUUCUUUUAUAUGGGAAUAAAACGUUCCACGUGUGGGAUUUUGUAUGUACCAUAUGAAUAAGGAUCGGCUAACUCCGUGCCAGCAGCCGCGGUAAUACGGAGGAUCCGAGCGUUAUCCGGAUUUAUUGGGUUUAAAGGGAGCGUAAGUGGAUUGUUAAGUCAGUUGUGAAAGUUUGCGGCUCAACCGUAAAAGUGCAGUUGAAACUGGCAGUCUUGAGUACAGUAGAGGUGGGCGGAAUUCGUGGUGUAGCGGUGAAAUGCUUAGAUAUCACGAAGAACUCCGAUUGCGAAGGCAGUUCACUGGACUGCAACUGACACUGAGGCUCGAAAGUGUGGGUAUCAAACAGGAUUAGAUACCCCGGUAGUC
rnacentral:rRNA from 1 species